UAAAAAAAGUAAUGGAUUGGAGAGAAGGUAAGAACAGACAUCUGAUCCUUAUCCCUUGUCGCUAGAAAAUCUAUGGAGCCAUGAACAGCUGCCCCCAAAAUUUUCACACUGAACUUUCCAGCCUCAUGUUUCAUCCCAUUAGCGUCACAAAUUAACAACAAUGAAUUAACAUUUAACAACAUACAACAUAGCAAUAUCAUAUUCCCAAUCCCAAUCAAUCUUCAAACACUUUCUCUCAUCAUGGCUUCCAUGUCUUCUCCCAACCUCACUUUCCCAAAGCAAAACCUCUCCAUUCCCUUUCCUAUCAGAACGCCUUCGCUUGUUCCCUUCCCUUCCCAAUCCCCUUCUCGCUGCCUCAACUCUCUCUCUGAUAACCACAACAACGCCAAACGCGGAUGGGACUCGCUGCUUAACCAGUUCGUCAAAAUCAUCAACCACUUCGAUUCCUACAGAAAGUCCUUCGUAAACGCCGUCGAGGAUCGUAAUCGUGGCCGUGGUGACGGUGUUGCUGAUGAAUGGGAUUGGGAUCGGUGGCGCCGCCAUUUCGAGGAGGUCGACGAGCAAGAACGUCUCCUCUCUAUUCUCAAGUCUCAAUUAAGUCGUGCUGUAUAUUUGGAGGAUUAUGAAGAUGCUGCCAGGCUUAAGGUGGCAAUUGCAGCUGCUGCUAACAAUGAUAGUAUUGGAAGAGUCAUGUCUCAUUUCAAUAAAGCCAUAAAAGAGGAGCGGUACGGUGAUGCAGCUCUUUUAAGAGAUAAAGCUGGUGCUGGACUUGUGGGUUGGUGGGCUGGUAUUUCAAAAGAUGUUAAUGAUCCACAUGGUCUAAUCAUUCGCAUAACUCCUGAGCAUGGAAGAUAUGUGGCAAGGAGUUAUAGUCCUAGGCAACUUGCAACAUCUGCAUCUGGCAUUCCUCUAUUUGAAUUUUUUCUUACAAUGGAUAAAAAAGGUGAAUUCAAGUCACAGGCUGUGUACUUAAAGCGAAGAGGGGCCUUCCAUGGGCCCCCAACAACCUCCUAUAAAACAUUGGAUGCUGCUGGGAGAUUGAAUUCAGUGGAGUCUAGUGAAGAUAAAAGUGAGCUGUUUGUUGUGAGUGCUGAAGAUCUGGAAAAUGGUGAUGAUAGGAAUGAUGGCUCUGAUCCAGCUGAGGGAAUGCCUGGAUUUCAGAAUGUCUUGAAAGAUAUGAUUCCUGGUGUAAAGGUGAAGGUUUUCAAGGUGAUAACUCCAGAGAAAGUAGACAAGGAUCUAAUAUCUAAGGUGAUUGAGCAGAUAAUUGAGGAAGAAGAGGAUGAAGAUGAUGGUGAAGACGAAGACGAAGAUGGAGAUGGCGAUGAAGAUGACGAUGACGAAGAUGAUGGUGACAAUGAAGAGAAGGACACUGAUACAGAAAGUAUAGAACUGGAAGACAUUAAGUCUGAGACUGACCUGGAGGGAGAUGAUGAGAUUGAAGUAAAUACUGGUCUGGGAACUUCUGAACGUAAAGAACAGAAUGAAAUUGCUGUCAAAGUUGUCAUUGGUGGUCUUGUUCAGAAACUUUCCGGUAAUAUGUCCACUAGAGAUUUGCUUCGAGUUCCAGCUAAGCUGGAGAUGAAGGGGUGUGGUUCAUUUUCCUUUACUGUUGAAAAAGAAGUCAAUCAGCAGGUUGGUCUUGACAGAGGAAAAUCUUCAUCUGAUAAAUCAACCAAGUUUCAAGGUCAACGCAGAGUUGAUCAUGUUAUUUUUGACCUUGCUAAAUUCAUUGGGAGGGGAAAAGUACCCUCAAAGGUGCUGAAAGAGGUGGGAGAAUUGAUAAAUCUCACUCUAAGUCAGGCUCAGAACCAUCAACAAUUAUCUGGUUCAACAAUUUUCAAUCGCAUUGAAAUACCAACUUUGUUUGAUCCUUUAAAUGGUCUAUAUAUUGGUGCACAUGGACUAUACUCAUCUGAAGUUAUUCAAUUAAGACGUAGAUUUGGUCAGUGGCAUGAGGACAGUGAGGCUAAGGAGCCUUCAGAUCUUGAGUUUUACGAGUAUGUAGAAGCUUUGAAACUAACUGGGGAUCCUUAUGUACCAGCUGGCCAGGUGGCAUUUCGUGCAAAAGUUGGAAAGAGGUAUCAGCUUCCUCAUAAAGGGAUAAUACCUGAAGAGUUUGGGGUGAUUGCUCGCUAUAAAGGUGAAGGGAGGCUGGCUGAGAGAGGGUUUCAGAAUCCCCGAUGGGUUGAUGGUGAACUUGUGAUUCUUGAUGGAAAGCACCUAAAAGCAGGUCCUGUUGUUGGAUUCGUGUAUUGGGCCCCCGAGUAUCAUUUUUUGGUCUUCUUCAAUCGGCUUAGGCUUCAACAGUAGGGUUUCGUUGUUCAUAAUAUCAAAGACUUGUAAAUUCUUUCUUCAGAUUUUUAGCGUUCCAGGUUUUGUUGAAUGCUAAAUUCUUGUACUUCAAUGGAAGGUAUCACCAAUCACUGCAGGGUCUUCCAUUUGAGAUUUAAAAGAUUUUUGCCACUAACUUUCUGCCAAGCAGCGCAAGGAUUUGAGCAUUGGGCUCUUCUUGUCUAGAACGGGAUUGACUGGGGUAGCUUAAGCUUGGUAGCUGUAGCUUGACUAACUAUAGAUUGAAGAGGGAUUCAUAGUAUCAGCACUAGAGCACAAUGUAUUAGUCUCUUCAUUCCAUGCUUUAUGGAGGUGUAGUGUUCACAGGGUAUCUUCAUCAACUUUGUGCAUUGUUUCUUAAUCUUCUUGCAAGUUGUAUUCCCAUGUAUCAUAAAUUCAUAUUUAUGCUCAGUUUAAUGCCUUCAGGGUUAAUAACAUUGUUCUUUCUGUAGCAUGAAUGUAGUCUUCGUUAAUGGCACUAUUUUAUCUUCUCACUUUGGGUGGUAUUGAGGUCUCUGGUAUUAGCUUCAUCUAUCCAGUCAGCAGCGAAAUGAAGGUCCCGAAAGGGUCUAGCCAAAAUUUGGACACGACAAAACUGUAGUGUCUCUUUUCUAUCCCUUCUGAUCUUCCUCGGAUCAGUUUGGGUGAGUAUGCCUGGUUAGCUUAUGCCUUGUAUUGAAUUUAUUGAAAGAUAAUUGAACUUCGUUUGGAAAUGCUGUGUGGGAAUGAAAAUUGGGUGAAAGUUAUUGUCUGGGAAAUUGAGGAUAUGGAGGAAAAGAGAAUAAGGAUGAUGUUUAACCUUUUAACUGGAACAAAUAAACCUUCACUCGAAGUACCGUAAGACUAUUGUUAACCGACUUAAGUUGAAUCGUUGAUAAAGAUUUGGAAUGAGAUUCUCCUGGUAAAGUUUCAAUUAUAGACGCUUGAAACUCUAGGAAAGAACAUGUUCGGCUGCAGUAUCCUUUGAAAUUAAAUAUUACAUAAUUGCAAUGUAUUCCAUUAUCACCCUCAUCACCCAUGUUACACCCAGAAGCAUUUCUAAAAAUUCAAAAAUUCUUAAUCCGUGACAAUCGAGCCCAAAACCCCCAAACUACGAACUCUUUGGGUGUACAAUAUGUAGAAACAAGAACGUCAAAAAUGAACCUUUUGGAAAAGGAACAAGUUUUUUCACUUCAAAAUCAUUUAUAUGUUAAAGCAAAAAAGGGAAUUGGCUUCAGAUUUGUAGUUGAAGACAAGACGUAUUAAAAACUGUUCUGCAAAACUUGAUCGUCAAACAAUAUUUUUUGAAAAUAAAUAACUGAAAACACAAUUAAAUAGACCCUAAAUAUUUCGUAAUGAUAUGCAAGAGAAGCCUUUCCUCAACAAUUUAAGCCCUCAUCCGGGGGAAGGAACAAGUGGUUAUAAAACAUUAUCUAGACACGUAAUAGAUUAUCCUUAAAAUAACUAUUAAUUUCUAUUUCCAUAAAACAAGUUUGUAGUUUAUCUUUGUUACGUUUCCUUACUAAUAAAAAACAGUUUGAUAAUUUUGAGUUUAGUUCAAUAAUUACUAUCAUUGCUGCUUAUAUAAAAGUCACUCUUAAUUAGAAUUCAAAUUUCGUUCCUUCCUCAAAUCAGAUUUCAACUCGGUGUCAGAAUUAAAGCGUUGGGGGAGGGAGGGAUUAAAUCUAUAGCAUAUAGUUUACAUACGAUGAGAUGGGGGUCACCACCACACGAACAUUUGCACCUUAUUAAAUCAUCUCCCCAUCAUCCUUAUAUAACAUCAUGGAGAUGUUAUUCAGAUGUCCCACGCAACAUAGCUAUACCUUCUCUGCUGCACCAAAAAACACAUCAUUUGCUAUCUUGGCUCCCCGUUCUUUGGCCAUGUACAGGCCCACGUGAUGCAUAAACUCCUGCAAAUCACACAGUACAUCGCUAGAAUAGAUACAUAUAAUAAGGCGAAUAUUCACUCAUGAAAAUGCACUUUUGAUGCUUAGUUGGUAGUUACGUAGUGUGUUAUGUAUAUACCUAAGGAUGAGCUAAAGCUCCUUUGGUAUUUCUGGCUAUCUCCAGAGGGAUAUCAAAUGUAGCACAGCCACGUGAAUAAACCACCACAUUUUCUAGAGGCUCCAGAAAACCACGAUUCUUAGCUGACAUUGUAGAGCAUACAAAGUCUAGUACACAGAUAUCUGUGCACACACCUACAACCACCAGCUUCACCAACGCAAGCAAAAACAAUAAAUAAUAAAAUGGUUUUAAUAAUAUGAGUUUAGGAUUUCAGACCCACUAAUCAGAAAUAGUUUUAAUUCAAACAAUACUCAAAUUAGAAUAAAUACUCACAGUUUUUAUCUUAUUCUUCUUAAUCCAAUCUACAAAAACGUUAGAACCAUCUUCUUCCAUUGAGCCCAAAUAUCCAUCGAAACAAUCCUUACGCCUGAUUGUUACAUUGGUUUCGUUCUCUAGCCAUCUUAGCGCUUCAAUUCAAGAAAAACAAGAGCAUUUUGAAAAUAGUUGAACCAAUACUAGAGGAAAUUCAUAUCACAAUAUCGAAAUAGGAAAAAUCUGUAACAUUCAAAAAGCUGCUUGGUGAGUAGCCAUUAUCAGAUGUUUCAAUUGAUGUCAGAGGAAUAGAACAUUUACACAUGUUGAUUCGAUUUCAAUUAAAAUUUAUUAAAAAAGUUUUUUUCAAUAUGCAAAACUGGGUUGUUUGUUAUUAUUAUUUUGAAACUCCAAAGCAAUCCAUCUGAGACUUUAUUUUGAAGAGACUUUAAAAGGACCAAUUUAUUGCAGGGAUAAUUAAUUACCCAGUAAGUAGAUAGUGUCGUUGAACAUGAUAAGAAGAUCUUAGCAAUCAGUUUUAUAUGUUGCAAAUUCCAAUAUUAGCAGUCUGGUAAAUAUUACAAAUGAGAAUUAUCUGUGGGAUUCUAGGGAGAGCAAAAAAGAGACAGGAAAAAAAAAGCUAACAAUAAUUGGCACACCUGGAACCAAAUUUGAUUCAUCAGACCCAAUAAUACAGUGAGGAGGAUAAGGAUCCUCUGGCUUGUUAGGAUGGUGAGAAUCCAAGAACGCCAUAAUUGGCAAUUUCUUCUCACAGAAAAGUCUAGCUAGCCUUGCUGAUUCAUUUAUCAUCCCUGAAAUCUGUCUAUUGGAUUCUCUUGGGGCCUGAAAAUAUCAUUCAUCUAUCUCUUAAGGCAUGACCCACUUCACAAGUAAAAAGAGAAAAUCUACCUAGACUCAACUCUAGUUAAAAAAAUGAAAAUCCAAAGAUGCAAUCACAAUGCUCUGAACUCAUCACAAAAGAAUAUUCUCGUUUACCAAAAUUGAAAAGCAUUUAAAUUUAAAAACACACACAAAUAUAUCAAUACUUGUGAAUGGAAAAAGAUAGGAAUGUUAUCUAAACAAGUACAACAGAUACCAGAUUUCCAGCACCAACUGUGCAGAAGCCAUUUAUGAUGUCCACAAGAACGAGACCAUUCACAGUGUCUUCAGUUAAAACAACAGACUCAUGCUCCAGAGGAAUCUCCUUCUUCAGGAGUUCAACUGUUUGUGACACCAUUUUCGUUUUCACUUAGUAGUGAAUAGUAGAUGCCAAGCAGUUGUGUAAUCAUCUUUAU